GGAAUAUUUGAACACGAAUAUCUUUACAUUUUAGGCGUAAAUGAACAUCUUUACUUACCAAUAACAGUACUGAAUUGAUUAUUUGGACUUCAUAAAGCAACAAAUUGUUCAAAAAUGGUCUCACUAUUUACCUCUAUUUAUCAACCAGAACUUCUCUCUGUUAUGUACAUGUUCCUUCUAAUGUGUAAUCCUGAUGUGUUCUUCCUGUAGGUGCCUCCAUCACUAUCAAUCUCGCAUCGAGAUGUCGACGGCAAUUCCAUGAUACCCGGUGUGAAGAAAUAAGUAAGAUGGACUGACCUAGCCCAUUAAAGCACUGGCCCGUCUAUCCUAUUCUUCUCUUAUUAAAACCUGCCGUGUGUGCACAGUCGACAAAAUUAAUAGGGAUCCUCCUCGCACUGCCUCUCUCCCUCUUCCUCUUCCUUGCUGCACCCAUGGCAACAAGCCAGCAAAGCUCGAUUUCACGCUGGAGAAUCUCAACCCCUUGACGGAAUCGAUCGAUUUCUCGUCCGAGUGGUCAAAUCCUUAUCAGGGAGGUCAAAUCCUUGCCAGGGAGAUUGACGGAGAAGGCUGAUUUCUUACUGGUCGCCUUUUUGAGCACCUAGGGCCAAUGCGGCAUUAUGCCAGCGUGCCAAUGCCCAGCGUUUAAGCACACCUAGGCAAGCGCCUAACAACGCUUUUUUAACUAUGGUGCGGAUAAUCUAAUACCAAAGGACUUGGCCCUCAAAAUUGCAACCAAGAUUAGAGCUGGCGAACGAUUUUCAGUUUAUGUAGUCAUACCAAUGUGGCCUGAAGGAAUCCCUACCUCAGCCUCUGAGCAGGAUUUUUUUCUUUUAGGCACAUUCGGGCGUGAUGGGAUUCCGGUCCACUCUUCUGGCAGGACCCUCCUGGUGAACGAGGGUGGCAUCCUCAUGAAGAGCCUGCAAAUGGGGGAAUUUUACUACCUAAUUCGUCGCUUCUUGUGCUGCAUCCAACAAGAUGAAUGAUUCUAAUGAACAAGUACUCAUAUCGAUCUAAUUAAUCAGCUCCAUAUCUAGCCGGUUAGAAGAAUGAAGGUUUCUGUAUAUGUAUAAAAGGAAACCAAAGAAGCUUGCAUUUCUGAUCAAGCUUCAAUGAGUGCUAGUGUUCUUGCUUUCCAUGUUGAUGUAUGUUACCUCUGGAUGAAUCGUCUUCCUGCUGAGAGUUUCCUCUUUCAGUGUUGGAGAUGUUGUAGCAGCUUACAAUUACUAGGAGAAAUAAGUUACCAAAUCAUUCUGCUUGCAUCUGAUUGGUUUUAGGAAUGUCCUGAUCAGUUUCAUGUGCAUGUGUGAACAUAUACGUAAAUAA